rnacentral:rRNA from 1 species
UACGGGGGGGGCAAGCGUUGUUCGGAAUUACUGGGCGUAAAGGGCUCGUAGGCGGCCAACUAAGUCAGACGUGAAAUCCCUCGGCUUAACCGGGGAACUGCGUCUGAUACUGGAUGGCUUGAAUUCGGGAGAGGGAUGCGGAAUUCCAGGUGUAGCGGUGAAAUGCGUAGAUAUCUGGAGGAACACCGGUGGCGAAGGCGACAUCCUGGACCAACACUGACGCUGAGGAGCGAAAGCCAGGGGAGCAAACGGG